CAAGGUCCCCUGCUCCCCCCACCCCACUCCAACCCUACUUCCAUGAAUUUCUUGCCAAGGACUGUAACCCAUUAGCUCUUCCCUUUCCGUGGUUACUUAGUGCACUUACAUAGUCCGCAUUGUAGAAUUUGAUACUUUAUUUUAGAUUGUAUUCAUAGCCCUCACAAGAGAUUAUAGGGUUCUUGGGGGUAGAAAUUAUAUCUUAUCCUUAAUUUUUUUCAAUUAUGUGUAAUUUAUUGUAGUCUUAGGCACAUGGUAAAUGCUUAGUAAAUACUGACUAAUUGGAUUUUAUAGAAUAAGCCUGCUUCCUAGGGGAAGUCUUCUAGACUAGAAUAAGGAAAAGGAGGUGACUUCAUGCAGUCUGAACAUGCAGCUCCCAGAACUACCUGCUGCUCAUCCAUCCUACACUUCAAUUUAUCCCUUGGAGAUGAACUGUGUUAAUCUUAUAUAUUCCAUAUUCAUAUUGUGAUAGCUCUAUGUCCUUUUAUAUGCCUUGGUAUCAUUACAUGCCUUAGAUUGAUAAUUCUAACCAUUUUUUUGCAGUAUAUUAGCCAUAUAUAUAGUGGCAGCACAUCACCACUCAUAUAAUGAUGAUUAUGAUGAUGAUGAUUACUAUUAUUUAUAAUAGCUGGAUUUGUUGAGGACUCAUUUGCAAUGUACCAGGCAUUAUGCUAAGUACUUUUCAUGUAAGGUAGAUAUUCCCACCUUUACAAAUGAAGAAAACCAAGGCUUAUGGAGAUUAAGUAAUUUUCCCAAGUCACAUAGCUAACUAGUGACAGUGCUAGAACUCAAAACCCAGUCUGUCUGACCUAGAAUAUCUUAAUCAUUAUGUGGCUGACUUGCCAAUAAAAUGUUGAUCACAAAUUCUAAUUUUCCUAUGUUUUCUCUUAUUGAUCUCUCAUCUUGAUAUUCUGGAUAUUCUCUCUCACUGUGACUCUUUCUACCUCUGAUUUAUUCUUUUCUUCUGCAAAUAAUAGAUAAGUGAGGCUUAGUUCCCUAAGAUAGAAAAUAUGGGAGGUAGGUGUCUGAGGAUUAACUAAGUAAGGGUCCUUGUGGCUGGAUUGGUUUCAGUAGUAUAGCAGAAAGGUUUCAGUCAAUCUGUCCCUACAUGGCUGUCCUAGUAGAGAGAUGGGAGGCACCAAAUUUAGGCAGAUAAGGAA
rnacentral:lncRNA from 1 species